AACGUAGGACGCAAGCGUUAUCCGGAUUUACUGGGCGUAAAGGGCAGGCAGGCGGGUUGAUAAGUCGGAUGUGAAAUCUCCCUGGCUUAACCGGGAGAGUGCAUUUGAGACUGUCAACCUGGAGGGCAGCAGAGGAGCGUGGAAUUCCGGGUGGAGUGGUGAAAUGCGUAGAGAUCCGGAGGAACACCAGAGGCGAAAGCGGCGCUCUGGGCUGCACCUGACGCUGAACUGCGAAAGCCAGGGGAGCGAACGGG
rnacentral:rRNA from 1 species